UACGGAAGGCAGCAGUAGGGAAUCUUCCGCAAUGGACGAAAGUCUGACGGAGCAACGCCGCGUGAACGAUGAAGGCUUUCGGGUCGUAAAGUUCUGUUGUUAGGGAGAACAAGUACCAGAGUAACUGCUGGUACCUUGACGGUACCUAACCAGAAAGCCACGGCUAACUACGUGCCAGCAGCCGCGGUAAUACGUAGGUGGCAAGCGUUGUCCGGAAUUAUUGGGCGUAAAGCGCGCGCAGGUGGUUCUUUAAGUCUGAUGUGAAAGCCCACGGCUCAACCGUGGAGGGUCAUUGGAAACUGGGGAACUUGAGUGCAGAAGAGGAAAGUGGAAUUCCACGUGUAGCGGUGAAAUGCGUAGAGAUGUGGAGGAACACCAGUGGCGAAGGCGACUUUUCUGGUCUGUAACUGACACUGAGGCGCGAAAGCGUGGGGAGCGAACAGGGAUUAGAUACC
rnacentral:rRNA from 1 species